rnacentral:rRNA from 1 species
AUUGAACGCUGGCGGCAUGCUUUACACAUGCAAGUCGAACGGUAACAGGUUAAGCUGACGAGUGGCGAACGGGUGAGUAAUGCAUCGGAACGUGCCCGGUCGUGGGGGAUAACACUUCGAAAGAAGUGCUAAUACCGCAUACGAUCUGAGGAUGAAAGCGGGGGACCGUAAGGCCUCGCGCGAUCGGAGCGGCCGAUGUCAGAUUAGGUAGUUGGUGGGGUAAAGGCCUACCAAGCCGACGAUCUGUAGCUGGUCUGAGAGGACGACCUGCCACACUGGGACUGAGACACGGCCCAGACUCCUACGGGAGGCAGCAGUGGGGGAUUUUGGACAAUGGGCGCAAGCCUGAUCCAGCAAUGCCGCGUGCAGGAAGAAGGCCUUCGGGUUGUAAACUGCUUUUGUACGGAGCGAAAAGGCUCUCUCUAAUACAGGGGGCUGAUGACGGUACCGUAAGAAUAAGCACCGGCUAACUACGUGCCAGCCGCCGCAGUAA